GAGCCAUUAGCUCAGCAGGUAGAGCAUCUGACUUUUAAUCAGAGGGUCGGAGGUUCGAAUCCUCCAUGGCUCA
rfam:Geobacillus sp. Y4.1MC1, complete genome.